rnacentral:snRNA from 1 species
GGGUGAUCUGGCUGCAACAUCUGUUGNCCCAUUGAUCACCAGGGUUGAUUCAGCUGAUCUAGCUGGGUGGGCGGGGGUCCACUUCCUCACUGCCCUGUGGGCGUCUCUCCUGAAGCUGUGUACUCCGUGGAACAGGAUAGCUACCCCAAAUAGGAAUGUACUGUUCUUCGAUCAAGAGUAUAUGAUAACUGCGAUCCCCUGAUAGAAAUGCCAAACAAUAAUGUCUCUUUGUUAAACAGUAAAUGCAGAGGCACGCCUUUUUUUUCCUGAAGUAAAGUUGGAGGCACGCUUUGUUCUCA